rnacentral:rRNA from 1 species
AUUGAACGCUGGCGGCAUGCCUUACACAUGCAAGUCGAACGGCAGCGGGGGAGAAGCUUGCUUUUCCUGCCGGCGAGUGGCGAACGGGUGAGUAAUACAUCGGAACGUGCCCUGUAGCGGGGGAUAACUAGUCGAAAGAUUAGCUAAUACCGCAUACGACCUGAGGGUGAAAGUGGGGGACCGCAAGGCCUCAUGCUAUAGGAGCGGCCGAUGUCUGAUUAGCUAGUUGGUGGGGUAAAGGCCUACCAAGGCGACGAUCAGUAGCUGGUCUGAGAGGACGAUCAGCCACACUGGGACUGAGACACGGCCCAGACUCCUACGGGAGGCAGCAGUGGGGAAUUUUGGACAAUGGGCGAAAGCCUGAUCCAGCAAUGCCGCGUGUGUGAAGAAGGCCUUCGGGUUGUAAAGCACUUUUGUCCGGAAAGAAAUGGCUCUGGUUAAUACCUGGGGUCGAUGACGGUACCGUAAGAAUAAGCACCGGCUAACUACGUGCCAGCCGCCGCGGUAA